GUCGAUUUGUGAACCAAUCUCAACGUUGUUUUAACGUGGAUUCAACGUUGAAUUAUGGUUGACGAGAUUGGCAACCUAAUUUCAACGUUGUUUCAACGUCGAAACAGUAACGUGGAUCCAAUUUGCAUAGUCAACCCUUUUUCAACGUCUAUCCAACGUCUGGAAGGUCAUUUCCAACGUUGAUUCAACGUUGGAUAAACGUCCUUUUGCCCGCUG